AGGACGAACGCUGGCGGCGUGCUUAACACAUGCAAGUCGAGCGGAAAGGCCACUUCGGUGGUACUCGAGCGGCGAACGGGUGAGUAACACGUGAGUAAUCUGCCCCUGGCUUUGGGAUAGCCACCGGAAACGGUGAUUAAUACCGGAUACGACAUGGACUCGCAUGGGUUUGUGUGGAAAGUUUUUCGGCCAGGGAUGUGCUCGCGGCCUAUCAGCUUGAUGGUGAGGUAAUGGCUCACCAUGGCUUCGACGGGUAGCCGGCCUGAGAGGGUGACCGGUCAACACUGGGACUGAGACACGGCCCAGACUCCUACGGGAGGCAGCAGUGGGAAUAUUGGACAAUGGGCGGAAGCCUGAUCCAGCCAACGCCGCGUGAGGAUGACGGCCUUCGGGUUGUAAACCUCUUUACAGUAACCGACGAAGCGACAAGUGACGGUAGUACAAGAAGAAGCAACCGGCCAACUACGUGACCAGCAGCCGAC
rnacentral:rRNA from 1 species